rnacentral:rRNA from 1 species
AGCGAACGCUGGCGGCAGGCCUAACACAUGCAAGUCGAACGAAGUCUUCGGACUUAGUGGCGGACGGGUGAGUAACACGUGGGAACGUGCCUUUAGGUUGGGAAUAACUCAGGGAAACUUGUGCUAAUACCGAAUGUGCCCUUCGGGGGAAAGAUUUAUCGCCUUUAGAGCGGCCCGCGUCUGAUUAGCUAGUUGGUGAGGUAAAGGCUCACCAAGGCUACGAUCAGUAGCUGGUCUGAGAGGAUGACCAGCCACAUUGGGACUGAGACACGGCCCACACGCCUACGGGAGGCAGCAGUGGGGAAUCUUGCGCAAUGGGCGAAAGCCUGACGCAGCCAUGCCGCGUGGAUGAUGAAGGUCUUAGGAUUGUAAAAUCCUUUCACCGGUGAAGAUAAUGACUGUAGCCGGAGAAGAAGCCCCGGCUAACUUCGUGCCAGCCGCCGCGGUAAGAC